UACGUAGGAUGCAAGCGUUGUCCGGAAUUAUUGGGCGUAAAGAGCUCGUAGGCGGUCUGUCGCGUCGGCUGUGAAAACUCGGGGCUCAACCCCGAGCCUGCAGUCGAUACGGGCAGACUGGAGGUAUGCAGGGGAGAACGGAAUUCCUGGUGUAGCGGUGAAAUGCGCAGAUAUCAGGAGGAACACCGGUGGCGAAGGCGGGUCUCUGGGCCGAUACUGACGCUGAGGAGCGAAAGCGUGGGGAGCGAACAGG
rnacentral:rRNA from 1 species